rnacentral:rRNA from 1 species
AGCUCCAAUAGCGUAUAUUAAAGUUGUUGCGGUUGAAACGCUCGUAGUUGGGUUUCUGUCGGGACAAGUAGGUCGGUCCAAGUGGCUUGUUCUUACUUCGUUCCUGACAUUUUCGCGGGGAAUGAGAUCGCACUUUAUUGUGUGUCUUUGGAACCGCGACGUUUACUUUGAGGAAAUGAGAGUGCUUCAAGCGGGUGUGUGCCACGAAUAUGUUAGCAUGGAAUAUUACCAUUGGACCUCGGUUCAUGGCUGUUGGUUGCUCGAACCGAGGUGAGGAUAGACGGGAACAGUUGGGGGCAUUCAUAUUGAACUGUCAGAGGUGAAAUUCUUGGAUUUGUUCAAGAUGAACUACAGCGAAAGCAUUUGCCAAAGAUGUUUUCA